rnacentral:rRNA from 1 species
GGGGAAUCUUGCGCAAUGGGCGAAAGCCUGACGCAGCGACGCCGCGUGGGUGAUGAAGGCCUUCGGGUUGUAAAGCUCUGUGGGGAGAGACGAAUAAGACGUGGCUAACAUCCACGGCGAUGACGGUAUCUCCUUAGCAAGCACCGGCUAACUCUGUGCCAGCAGCCGCGGUAAGACAGAGGGUGCAAACGUUGUUCGGAAUUACUGGGCGUAAAGCGUGUGUAGGCGGCCAUGUAAGUUGGAUGUGAAAGCCCGGGGCUCAACCCCGGAAGUGCAUUCAAAACUGCGUGGCUUGAGUAUCGGAGAGGUUGGUGGAAUUCUCGGUGUAGAGGUGAAAUUCGUAGAUAUCGAGAGGAACACCGGUGGCGAAGGCGGCCAACUGGACGAAUACUGACGCUGAGACACGAAAGCGUGGGGAGCAAAC